GCGGGUGUAGCUCAAUGGUAGAGCCGUAGCCUUCCAAGCUAAUGACGAGGGUUCGAUUCCCUUCACCCGCUCCA
rnacentral:tRNA from 1 species